rnacentral:rRNA from 1 species
ACGGGUGAGUAACGCGUAGGAAUCUACCUAGUAGUGGGGGACAACGUCUCGAAAGGGACGCUAAUACCGCAUACGCCCUACGGGGGAAAGGGGGGGAUCUUCGGACCUCUCGCUAUUAGAUGAGCCUGCGUCGGAUUAGCUAGUUGGUGGGGUAAAGGCCCACCAAGGCGACGAUCCGUAGCUGGUCUGAGAGGAUGAUCAGCCACACCGGAACUGAGACACGGUCCGGACUCCUACGGGAGGCAGCAGUGGGGAAUAUUGGACAAUGGGGGCAACCCUGAUCCAGCCAUGCCGCGUGUGUGAAGAAGGCCUUCGGGUUGUAAAGCACUUUAGGGGGGGAGGAAGGUCCCAAAGCGAAUACCUUUGGGAAUUGACGUUACCCCCAGAAUAAGCACCGGCUAACUCCGUGCCAGCAGCCGCGGUAAUACGGAGGGUGCAAGCGUUAAUCGGAAUUACUGGGCGUAAAGCGCGCGUAGGCGGCUUGGUAAGUCGAUUGUGAAAUCCCCGGGCUCAACCUGGGAAUUGCAGUCGAGACUGCUUGGCUAGAGUGUGGGAGAGGGUGGUGGAAUUCCCGGUGUAGCGGUGAAAUGCGU